rnacentral:rRNA from 1 species
GACGAACGCUGGCGGCGUGCUUAACUCAUGCAAGUCGAACGAUGAAGCCGGAGCUUGCUCCGGUGGAUUAGUGGCGAACGGGUGAGUAACACGUGAGCAAUCUGCCCUUGACUCUGGGAUAACUGCGGGAAACUGUAGCUAAUACCGGAUACGACACCUUGGGCCUCCCAGGGUGUGGAAAGAUAUUCGGUCAAGGAUGAGCGCGCGGCCUAUCAGCUAGUUGGUGAGGUAAUGGCUCACCAAGGCGACGACGGGUAGCCGGCCUGAGAGGGUGACCGGCCACACGGGAACUGAGACACGGUCCAGACUCCUACGGGAGGCAGCAGUGGGGAAUAUUGCACAAUGGGCGAAAGCCUGAUGCAGCAACGCCGCGUGAGGGAUGAAGGCCUUCGGGUUGUAAACCUCUUUUAGCAGGGAAGAAGCGAAAGUGACGGUACCUGCAGAAAAAGCACCGGCUAACUACGUGCCAGCAGCCGCCGUAA